GAUGAACGCUGGCGGCGUGCCUAAUACAUGCAAGUCGAGCGAACAGACGAGGAGCUUGCUCCUUCGACGUUAGCGGCGGACGGGUGAGUAACACGUAGGUAACCUACCUAUAAGACUGGGAUAACUUCGGGAAACCGGAGCUAAUACCGGAUAAUAUUUCGAACCGCAUGGUUCGAUAGUGAAAGAUGGCUUUGCUAUCACUUAUAGAUGGACCUGCGCCGUAUUAGCUAGUUGGUAAGGUAACGGCUUACCAAGGCAACGAUACGUAGCCGACCUGAGAGGGUGAUCGGCCACACUGGAACUGAGACACGGUCCAGACUCCUAUGGGAGGCAGCAGUAGGGAAUCUUCCGCAAUGGGCGAAAGCCUGACGGAGCAACGCCGCGUGAGUGAUGAAGGUCUUCGGAUCGUAAAACUCUGUUAUUAGGGAAGAACAAACGUGUAAGUAACUGUGCACGUCUUGACGGUACCUAAUCAGAAAGCCACGGCUAACUACGUG
rnacentral:rRNA from 1 species